rnacentral:rRNA from 1 species
UGGGGAAUAUUGGACAAUGGGCGCAAGCCUGAUCCAGCAAUGCCGCGUGUGUGAAGAAGGCCUUCGGGUUGUAAAGCACUUUUAUCAGGAGCGAAACGCUGUCGGCUAAUACCCGGCGGAACUGACGGUACCUGAGGAAUAAGCACCGGCUAACUUCGUGCCAGCAGCCGCGGUAAUACGAAGGGUGCAAGCGUUAAUCGGAAUUACUGGGCGUAAAGCGUGCGUAGGCGGUUCCUUAAGUCUGCUGUGAAAUCCCCGGGCUCAACCUGGGAAUGGCAGUGGAUACUGGGAGGCUAGAGUGUGUCAGAGGGUGGUGGAAUUCCCGGUGUAGCGGUGAAAUGCGUAGAGAUCGGGAGGAACAUCAGUGGCGAAGGCGGCCACCUGGGACAACACUGACGCUGAGGCACGAAAGCGUGGGGAGCAAACAGGAUUAGAUACCCUGGUAGUCCACGCCCUAAACGAUGCGAACUGGAUGUUGGUCUCAACUCGGAGAUCAGUGUCGAAGCUAACGCGUUAAGUUCGCCGCCCUGGGGAGUACGGUCGCAAGACUGAAACUUAAAUGAAUUGACGGGGUCAUAGCUGUUUCCUG